AAAGAUUAAGCCAUGCAUGUCUAAGUAUAAGCAAUUUGUGCUGUGAAACUGCGAAUGGCUCAUUAAAUCAGUUAUCGUUUAUUUGAUAGUACCUUACUACAUGGAUACCUGUGGUAAUUCUAGAGCUAAUACAUGCUAAAAACCUCGACUUCGGAAGGGGUGUAUUUAUUAGAUAAAAAACCAACGCCCUUCGGGGCUCCUUGGUGAAUCAUAAUAACUAAGCGAAUCGCAUGGCCUUGCGCCGGCGAUGGUUCAUUCAAAUUUCUGCCCUAUCAACUUUCGAUGGUAAGAUAGUGGCUUACCAUGGUGGCAACGGGUAACGGGGAAU
rnacentral:rRNA from 1 species